CCCAAUAUCCCCUUCAUUUUUCGGUCGGUUUUAAUGAAACAAAACCCCAACCAAAAACCCUUUCUUUCCUCUUUCUCUUCCCGUGAGAAUCCAAAAAUCCCCAAAUCCUCAAUCUUCUUUCUCGUCCCCUGUUUUCGGUCUCGUCGGAAUCCGGUUCCCUCGCCGGCAUUCUUGUUGCUUGCCAGAGUCCUCCUUUUCUUUUGUGCGCGUUGUUGCUGCCGGUGACGUUGUUGUUGCUGCUAUCCUGUUUUUCUCUCCUCUAUUGUGUUGUGCGUGUGGUGCUGCUCGCAAGCCACCACACCGUUGCUCUUGUUCGUCGCUGCUGUGUGUGCGGUGCUGCUCGCGAGCCACCGCGGCCUUGUGUUUCUCUCUCCUCCCUCGAAACUCUUUAUCUCAUCUGCUUGUGUUGCGGGUCCUGUUCGCGUUUACUUGCGGCGGCGCACCGCUGAUCUGCCGGUGCUCUUUGUGAUACCAGUCGUCGCUGAAGCUCGUUAUUGUUCUGAGGCUGUGUGGUGUUGUUGGUUUCGUUGUUGCUAGUGCACCUCCGUCGUUGUGGUGUUGGUGGUUGGGUUUCCCCUUCGACGUAUCUUAAAUGUUUCAGGUUGAAGCCGUGAGUUAAUCUUCUACAAGUUGAAGCUGAUAGGAGAUGGUGUAGUAUUAUAGUUGUUAUCGAAGUGAGGACGCUUGACUUUGUAAUAGUUAGCCGUUUAUUAUUUAUAAUAUAUCUUUCCAUUUAAGAGUCGUUAGUGCUCCUGAUUCUCUGUUGGUUGUUGCUCCGCGAAAGUGUUGAGGCUGCUGAGCUUUGGGAUUUGGAAAUAUUUUAUAAAUUAAAUUUGCAAACAGGUUUAAAUCA